GUGCACUCCAGCAGCACAUAAACUAAAAUGGGGAUGAUACAGAGAAGAUUAGCAUGGCUCCUGUACAAGGAUGACAUACCAGUUGGUGAAGCAUUCCAUAAUGUU